rnacentral:rRNA from 1 species
GACGAACGCUGGCGGCGUGCUUAACACAUGCAAGUCGAACGGAAAGGCCCUGCUUUUGUGGGGUGCUCGAGUGGCGAACGGGUGAGUAACACGUGAGUAACCUGCCCUUGACUUUGGGAUAACUUCAGGAAACUGGGGCUAAUACCGGAUAGGAGCUCCUGCUGCAUGGUGGGGGUUGGAAAGUUUCGGCGGUUGGGGAUGGACUCGCGGCUUAUCAGCUUGUUGGUGGGGUAGUGGCUUACCAAGGCUUUGACGGGUAGCCGGCCUGAGAGGGUGACCGGCCACAUUGGGACUGAGAUACGGCCCAGACUCCUACGGGAGGCAGCAGUGGGGAAUAUUGCACAAUGGGCGGAAGCCUGAUGCAGCAACGCCGCGUGCGGGAUGACGGCCCUCGGGUUGUAAACCACUUUCGCCUGUGACGAAGCGUGAGUGACGGUAAUGGGUAAAGAAGCACCGGCUAACUACGUG